CUCAGAAACUCAAAGGAAUUGACGGGGCCCGCACAAGCGGUGGAGUAUGUGGUUUAAUUCGAUGCAACGCGAAGAACCUUACCUGGUCUUGACAUCCCGGAGACCCUUAGGAAACUAGGGGGUGCUUCCAUCUGGAAGAAUCUGGAGACAGGUGCUGCAUGGCUGUCGUCAGCUCGUGUCGUGAGAUGUUGGGUUAAGUCCCGCAACGAGCGCAACCCUUGCCUUUAGUUGCCAGCAGUUCGGCUGGGCACUCUAAAGGGACUGCCGGUGUUAAACCGGAGGAAGGUGGGGAUGACGUCAAGUCCUCAUGGCCUUUAUGACCAGGGCUACACACGUACUACAAUGGCCGAUACAAAGGGCAGCGACACUGCGAGGUGAAGCCAAUCCCGUAAAAUCGGUCUCAGUCCGGAUUGGAGUCUGCAACUCGACUCCAUGAAGUUGGAAUCGCUAGUAAUCGUGGAUCAGCAUGCCACGGUGAAUACGUUCCCGGGCCUU
rnacentral:rRNA from 1 species